rnacentral:lncRNA from 1 species
AGUGCUACGUGUCCCUGGCAUUUUAGGUGUCGGUUGGGCAGUCAUGGAUCAGGUAAUGCAGUUUGUUGAGCCAAGUCGGCAGUUUGUAAAGGACUCCAUUCGGCUGGUUAAAAGAUGCACUAAACCUGAUAGAAAAGAAUUCCAGAAGAUUGCCAUGGCAACAGCAAUAGGAUUUGCUAUAAUGGGAUUCAUUGGCUUCUUUGUGAAAUUGAUCCAUAUUCCUAUUAAUAACAUCAUUGUGUAAGUAAACUUUAUGAAAUAGACUAGGAUUGAAUGAAACUCAAAACCAUUUGAGAUGACAGGCUGUUAUUUCGUUAAUAUAGAGAUGCAUCUCUUGACUUUUUAGUGCUGUUGGAGUCUACUGAUAUUUACGAGUACCUGAUAAUUGAGGGCUUUUAGAUCUUACAUGAUCUGUCCAGAAAUUCUGUGUGCUAGGCACUAUUUUCUUUAAUAAAUAAAAUUUUACAGAGUCAAGAAAGUAUUAAAGACACUCAUAUGUCACAAAGCCAGCAUUGAAACCUAAGUCCUCUUUGUGCUGUUACCUUGUUAAUUUCUAAUGUGCAGAGCAAAUGCUUCCCAUCCAAAAAUCACUGCUGUGAUAGAAUUCUAACUCUGGACCAGAUUGCCUAGAUCCAAAACCUUUUUCUUGUUAUGCAGUAGCUGUCCUAGCUUCAGGCAAUUUGCCUAACCUCUCUGUGCCCAGUUUAUUCAGUGGGGAUAAUAGUUCUUACUUGGAUUAUGACUUUAAGUCAUGUAAGGCCCCAGAAACAAUUUGGGUAAGAAUACAAGUGAAAGUUGUUACUAUAAUGAGCCAUUGAUACUGAUAGGAGAAUAUCAUAACUUUUAAGUAUGUUAGGAGGCAAAAAAGGCUGAGAAACACUGGGAUCACUUUAUUUGUUUCCAAAUAAUUUUGCUUUUUAAAUUCAUUACAAGUCAUUGGGACACCUUGUGGCAUUGAGCAAUUAGAGCAAUUAGGUAAUUCAGUUUAGGGUAAGGACUUAGUAUGAGUUUCAGUACUUACUUUGUGAUUUUGUAUGCAUUUAAUCUCAGCCUCAUCCACUGUUUGGAGGUAAUAAAAUCUAUUAUUACCUGAUAAUAAUAUCAGGUGUAUCAGUGCUUGUAUCCAUUAAAAGCACUGAAUAAGUGUUAGUUGAAUUAAGUGAACAACUUCAGGUUCUUUGCCUUUUCUGAUGGUGAUGGUGGCAAUAAUAAUUAACAUUCAUUGAG